UACGUAGGGGGCAAGCGUUGUCCGGAUUUAUUGGGCGUAAAGAGCGUGUAGGCGGCCAUACAGGUCCGUUGUGAAAACUCGAGGCUUAACCUCGAGACGUCGAUGGAAACCGUAUGGCUAGAGUCCGGAAGAGGAGAGUCGGAAUUCCUGGUGGUAGCGGUGAAAUGCGCAGAUAUCAGGAAGAACACCCCGUGGCGAAGGCGGCUCUCUGGGACGGUACUGACGCUGAGACGCGAAAGCGUGGGGAGCGAACAGG
rnacentral:rRNA from 1 species